AAGUCGUAACAAGGUUUCCGUAGGUGAACCUGCGGAAGGAUCAUUAAAAAUGAACUUUCAACACCACGUGCACAAGAAUACAGAUUUAUAGAGAAAAUAAUAUUAAUAUAUACAACUCUUAGCAAUGGAUAUCUUGGUUCUC
rnacentral:misc_RNA from 1 species